rnacentral:rRNA from 1 species
GGGCUCCUACGGGGGGCAGCAGUGAGGAAUAUUGGUCAAUGGGCGGGAGCCUGAACCAGCCAAGUCGCGUGAGGGACGACGGUCCUAUGGAUUGUAAACCUCUUUUGUCGGGGAACAAAGGCGCCCACGGGUGGGCGGAUGAGUGUACCCGAAGAAAAAGCAUCGGCUAACUCCGUGCCAGCAGCCGCGGUAAUACGGAGGAUGCGAGCGUUAUCCGGAUUUAUUGGGUUUAAAGGGUGCGUAGGCGGGCUGUUAAGUCAGCGGUAAAAGCCCGGGGCUCAACCCCGGCGAGCCGUUGAAACUGG